UACGUAGGGUGCAAGCGUUAAUCGGAAUUACUGGGCGUAAAGCGUGUGCAGGCGGUUUUGUAAGUCUGUCGUGAAAGCCCCGGGCUCAACCUGGGAAUUGCGAUGGAGACUGCAAGGCUUGAAUCUGGCAGAGGGGGGUAGAAUUCCACGUGUAGCAGUGAAAUGCGUAGAGAUGUGGAGGAACACCGAUGGCGAAGGCAGCCCCCUGGGUCAAGAUUGACGCUCAUGCACGAAAGCGUGGGGAGCAAACAGG
rnacentral:rRNA from 1 species